AUACGUAGGGAGCAAGCGUUAUCCGGAUUUAUUGGGUGUAAAGGGUGCGUAGACGGGAGAUUAAGUUAGUUGUGAAAGCCCUCGGCUUAACUGAGGAACUGCAACUAAAACUGGUUUUCUUGAGUACUGGAGAGGAAAGCGGAAUUCCUAGUGUAGCGGUGAAAUGCGUAGAUAUUAGGAGGAACACCAGUGGCGAAGGCGGCUUUCUGGACAGCAACUGACGUUGAGGCACGAAAGUGUGGGGAGCAAACAGGAUUAGAUACCCUGGUAGUCCACACCGUAAACGAUGAAUACUAGUUGUAGGUUAUAUCAGGUAAUCCGUGCCGUCGCAAACGCAAUAAGUAUUCCACCUGGGGAGUACGGCCGCAAGGUUGAAACUCAAAGGAAUUGACGGGG
rnacentral:rRNA from 1 species